GCUUUGGGCUCUGAGAGUUGGAGUCGACAGGGCUUUGUGGGUUAUUUUCUCGCGUCCGUGCCGGGCAUUCACACGGCUGUUGUUUUAACCCCUCUGCACCCGCAUUAGUGCGUCAGUGGGGUCCAUGCCUCUGGGAACAGGAGGGGUCUUUCAAACACAAACACACACAGUGCUCUGCGGCGGAACUUUCCCUCUGUCUUUACAUACAUGUGUGUAUGCAUAUGCACGCAUAAUAACAUACACACAGACAAAAGAUGACAAACUCAUAGACACACAGGAUUUGGGACCCUGGCCUUUCCUGUAGAUCCACUAAUGUCACUGCAUUCGGUUCAACUCGGUGAAAUUAGACCACUGUGAAAUUGUGAGCAGCUCUGCAGGUCAAGUGCUGCAGGCCAAACUAAUAAACAAGCCGAAACAAGCUGCUAGUUUGUCAGUCGACUCACCACCAAUCAGCCAAACUUAAGACUUCACUUUUUGAAAAUUUGCAUGAAAAUAAAGUGUGAAUGUGUAAAUUUACGGAGACAAAAACACUCAAAUCAGGAAAGACAUGCAAAUGAAUAAGAGAUAAAUACUGGUGCCUGAAGUCUACAGGUAGGAAAAUGAUUGAUGGGUUCAUUUGCUCUGAGUAUAUCCUCCACACAGUAAUAGUGGAGGUACUGGUCAAUGAUAUGUCUGAGGAUGAUGAGAUGGUGAAACUGUGAAGACUGUGCAGUAGUAGGGAAAAGGAAAGUUUCUCUUAACAAUGGCAUGAAUAAGCAGGAGGCAGAGAAAAGCCAGCAGCAGCAAUAAGAAAGGCUAACAAUGAGGGUGUCAUUGGACAGAUAUGACCAGAUUAUGAGGACAGAUGGGGAAUGAAUGCCAUGUAGUAUGAGAAAUGAUUAACAUAGCUGGCAUGCAAGAGAGAGGUUCACUGAUUGAAUACGCGAAAGCUUCAUUUUCUUCCAGAGAAUGAAUCACUGAAAGCUAAAAGACAGAAAUUACAAUCUCUAAAAACCAUGAAAUUGUUUUUCCAUGAUUCCCCUCUCACAUUGUUCAAUCAAAAUGGGCCAAGAAACAUGAAUUUGCACUCGUGAUCUGAUCUCAUGUGAUAUUGUGUGUAAACACUUGGCCGUUUCCAUAAUAAAAUCUCCCUGUGAUAACUGCCAAGGAGAUGAGUUACACAAUACAGGAACAUCAAAACUGAAAUAUUUCCACUCUUAGUUCACUUAGCUUUGCCUGAAGACAACCCAGGCAUAAAUAACGAGCCUCACAUGUCAAGUGGAACAUAAAUUUAACAUUACAACCUCUAAAUCCUUAAAGGUACAGUGUGUUUAACUGGAAAUGCUCGGCAAUAUCUCGCAGUUUGAGCCCAGUUUGAAAUGCUCCUUUGAUCACCCUACUUGUUGGUAAAGGUACGGUGGCCUUAAAGGACAAAAAAACUCUGCUACCAUUUGACAUCAUGAAAACUUUGGCUGUGUCCGAAAUGGAUCCCUAAUCCCUAUAUAGGGGACUAUAUGGAGGUUAGCACCAUUUUGAGGGGUGUCCGAAACCUCAGUGAUCAAUUCCAAUGCCCUAUAUAGGUGACUGAAAAUUUCCCAUAAAGCACUGCAAAAUGUAUUGACCAUCCAACGGUCACUCACCGGUGGUGGGCAUCCCGUCAUGCAUUGCGUCUUGCCAACCUCCAGUGAUUGAGUUCACUACAUAGUCAACUAUAUAGUAAAAUCCCAUAUGGGGGUUAGGGGGUGAUUGAAUGAUUCAUUUCGGACACAGCUUUUGUCAAUACAAAUUCUUUUUCACACAAUAACUUUCUUUUCUUUGUCCUCCAACAAGUGCAUGCCACUCACUUAAUGCAUAAACACGUGUUAAUAAUUUGUCCAUUCUGUGUUAAUGUAGAAACAUCGCGUGCAGCCUACAUAGAAAGGGACAUGCCCCUGUAGAUAUAAAAGGCUUAUUUUAGGUCAACAUAAAGCAAAGUUUCAGGUAAAUAUUCACUAAUUUGAACAUUCUGAUGAAUUUUAUGUUCCAUUUCUACCUGCUAAAUGAAAAAAAAUUACAAUUCCCCAUUUCGUGAGAGGUUGUGUGUAUUGAACCAUGUCUUGGUCCGGGUCUGUAAGGAGUCAACUCUGAUCUCUUAUCCAGAAUAGAUUCAGUACACAUGAUCUAAAUACUGAAGCUUCAAACAGAAGAGCUCUUUAUUCCCACAACCGCAUCUCUGAGCUGAUAUCCACCCUGAUGGUUACCAUGACGUCACCGCUCAUUAUCAUUUCGCAGCAUCUGCACAUUUAUUUUGCAGAUUUACCCCGCUGAUAUUAUCAUAAAAGAUUAAGACGUAUUUAACAAAACAGAGAAACUGUUUGAUCUUAAAAAAAUUAAAUCAGUUAAACCUACAGCGAAAAGUUGAUAAAAGGGAAAAACUGCAUCUCUUUAAAGUUUCUCUGCCUCCGAGGAAAGUGCAGUGUUUGCAAAAUGUAUGUAUCACUUUGGGCGAGUUGUUCCAGUCUGAAGGUUGUGGGCUGUUGUGUUCAGCUUCUUAUUCGCUCAUCAGGUAUUGUCUUGUGCACUGGGAACGUUUUUGUUUUGGGGAACUGAGGUACAGGAGUUACUUUGGUUCGAAAAGUUCUCAAAAACCUCUCAAGGUCUGGAGUUGGAGUGAGUUUGUAAAAUAUGUACAUGUACUCUCUGUAUGGUGGGCCUGACAUGUUCACUCUUGUGGAGAUAAUGAGCCUGUUGCUCUAUUUGUCUCACUGUGUGACUACUUAUCUCUCGUCACCUCUCUUUCUUACUCUGACUUCACUUGUUUUUUUCCCUUCCUUGUUCCUGAGGGAGUGAAGACUUGAAAAUUUUUAGUUUUUAAGGCGGAUGGAUGAGAAUAAAUUAGGAUGUCUGAUCUCAGCUAUGCCCAGCUGGCCGCUGCAUGGUCAGACUCCUAACAGAAGAGCUCUUUAUUCUUGUAACCGCAAAUCACAGCUGAUAAUUACUCUGGUUUACCAUGACGCUCAGGGUUGGACACUGACCUUCACUGAACUUCAGUUUUAUAAAAAUGCUCAGCUAGCAGUAUAAGUCACAGUCAUGGUAAUUAUGACAUUUAAUCCUCCAAGUCUGAACGUCUUUCCUUCCAACAAACUCGCCUAAUUGUAGCAGCAUAACAAAUUUUCGUACAUUUCUUGCAGCUUUUUCCAUUUACAGGCCAUUUUUUGGCUGAAUGGGAGAAGAAGUAGUGAUGUAGGUGUACAUAAUGAUAUGCUUGUCAUCUCCCAGUAAAAAUAAUGAGGGAUGACUCAUACGGUGCUUAAGGUCUUAAGCAAUGACUGAAGUUUGUUUUCUUCCCCUCUAACAUAAAAUGCCUAGCCAGUUACCCAUCCAAAGCAAAGCACCAACAAGCAGUGAUGGGCAGGUUAUUGGAAACUGUCAGUUAGUUAUAAUGACUAAUCAAUCAAAAUGACUGACUUAUUAGAAGAGACCUGCAAGUUUUGAACGUCUAAACUAAACCUCAGCGAAGUUUCAUAACUCGAGAUACUUGAAAAUCUGAUGUGGUUCUCUUGUUAUGUUUUGCGACUAUACUGCCACCAUUUGAGCUUUGCACAAAUUGCAAGUUGCCGUCAGAGUCAUUUGCAUAACAAGCUUGAAAUACCUGAACCUUUUUGUUUAGCCUCAAUGCUACGUUAGCUCUCUGUUGCUAUAUUUUGCUACUUAAGUGCCACCAUUCCAGCUUUGCACAUAUUGCAAGUUGCCAUCAGUUGUUUGUAUAACAAGCAUGAAAUACCUGAGCCUCUAUAGCUAGCCUUAAUGCUACCUUGGCUCUCUGUUGCUAUAUUUUUCUACUCUAUUGCCACCAUUCGAGCUUAGAACAUAUAUAAGCUUUGCACAUAUUGCAAGUUGCCGUCAGAGUUGUUUGUAUAACAAGCAUGAAAUACUUGAACUUCUUUAGCUAGCCUAAAGGCUAUGUUAGCUCUCUGCCCUGCAAAACUCACCGAGGAAUCAUUGCUGAUGAUGCAACAUGUGCACACUGGAUGCUGUAAACACAUAAUAGCACAGAGCUGUGUUUAACAGAGCUGCCCAAUAGAUCAGCCCAAUGUCACCAAUACCAGAUCUAUACUUCUAAAUUGGUAUCCGGCUGAUACUCCUAAACCAGGAUCAGAACAGCGCACUCCUUGAGUUAGUUACAAAUCCUGUUAACAUAGGGUGACCAUUUUCUCACUUCCCAAAAAGAGGACAUGGCUACGCAGGGGCGGAGUCACUGAGUUUUUGGGUCGGAUCGAGUGUUUUUUAGGUGCUUCUAACUCAGUAAGUCCAUGUGACACAAACUCGAAACUUCCACACAAAACCGUGGACGUUUGAAGGAUUUUAUAAACUUCCCUGGACAAAGCCAGACAAGCCCGGACAGCUCCCAAAGAACAGGACAUGUCCGGGUAUAAGAGGAAGUAUGGUCACCCUUGAUAACAGCACUGCUUUUGUAGUUUAUGAACUGCACAUCUUGUUUAGUUACUGACUAUAAAAACUUGCGUAAAAACCAACUGCGCCAUUCACUGUUGUGCCAAGUGUCAUAUUAGCUGACACAAGCUAUACCUCUCUAAUUCUGCAAACAGGCCAGUUGCUUAAGCUUCACAAUGAAAGGACAAAUAUGAGACCAGUAUCACUCUUCUCGUCCAGUCCUUGGCAAAUAAAAAAGAUGCAUUUGCAGGACUCUCUCUUGGCCUGUCUGUUGCCCAUUCUCCUCUCCAAAGUUCUGAUUUUAUCCACCGUUCUAGCCUCUUGAUAAAAGUCAAAUAUGGUCCAACUCUUCUCAGACAUCUUUCUCGUCUUGUCAGUACUCUCUUCCAAUGUACUAAAUCAACCCCACAAAACAUUUUGGCAGCCAGUAUUCCUCUCAGCUUCCCCAAAUUUCUCUGACAGGCCAUUCCUGCUUUUGAAUUUCGCCCCUCAAUAGCAGCCUCAGUAUUUCUUUGAAGCCAACAGGCCCGGCUGCUUUCUAAGAUCCUUCUUCAACUGUAAUUUGUAAACCGUUUAAGCAUCUGAAUACUUUUCUGCCUUUCAGGGCCAACAGAGUGUUUGAACAAUCACAGCACCUGGGCGGUUACUGUCAGAACACUCCAGAGGCUGAUUACACAAGGAGAUAAGAGGAAAAAAGCUCUUCAAUGAUUUGAUUCAGUCUCUUUCAACACAAAAGCAAGAAGACACAACAAAGUGUUCUGGCGGGUUCGCCUCUGACACAGUUGGAGGGAGGUUUUCUUUAUUAUGCUGAUAAGGACUUUUGGGGAGAAACUGAAAGAAUGUCAACAUGUGUCGGAUGAAGUCAUGUCAAAGCUUGCUUUUUCACAAGAUAUCCACUCUGAUUUACGCUCGCACAGUCAACAGAAACAGGGCGCACAAUGAGCGGAGUUUUCUUUCACAGCUUACAUGUAGAAACAUUAUCUUCAGGCAUGCUGCCAGAGUCUUUUAAUCUCAUCCCUGCUUUGUGAGGAGGAGCAAGUUUGAGGGGAUUUGAGUCAGAAAUGUCCUCCCGAUCCUCACUGAAGUUUGUGCUCCAUUUGAAACUUUCUCAGGAGUACUUUCCACUUUUCUUGGUUGUUGUGUCAUUUUUAAGAAAAACACUUGAUGACUGCACAAGACAAGUGGUCAACCUCACUCAGUUAGUGUAUACUUAUAGUAAAAAUAGAAUGCAUUCAAGCAAAAGGGUCUCAUAUAAGUGCAAUAGCUUCGCCGGAGGCCAUGCACAGACCUUCCAUGUCAAUAAAGAUUUAAUGAAAGCAGAAGAUCGUGAUCCACCUUGACCCCAAGCUCUAAAAUAGAAACAGACUCAGAUUUUACCGAAGGUUUCAAUUUUUAAACCGCAUAAAAAUCCAUAUGCGAUGAGGAGUGGGAUUGAUUCAUGGAGGUGAUUGUUGAAAGCUUCAGGCUAAAUCGUGGCAGAUAGUGCCGUGUGGACUGUCCAGCUUCCUUUAAUGUGAUGAAGUGCAUCUUUGAUUUUACACUGGGGAAUACAAGCACUGCAUGGAUGCUCAAGCCAACUGCAUGUAUUAUUUUACACCUGUAGCAUGUCAGCACAAUUUACUCUUACAUUUGCUGUUUGUAUUUAUGAUUCUGGACCGGGCAUGCAGAUCAUCUGUGGGGUUUACAGGGCUUACAUUUCCUCUGGUGGUUCACUGAGUUCAGCUUGUUCCAGAAUAUUUGAGCAGCCACUCAUCUACCCUGCUGGAUUUUCAGACAUAUCCUCUUCACCUACAAUACCUCAGAGGUUUUGUUGUAUUUACCUCACAGUCAUACCACAUACAAGACCAAGAGGGAACAAAAAGUGGCCGCCAGCUAUUGCAACUCCUGGAUCUUGUAAUAAGUGUUUUUUCUUCUUCUUCUUUUAUGGGUGUAUUUAUAUGAUUCAUCCAUUGGAUAGCUUGCUGUGCACUGUUUGAAGGCCUUAUACAAGGUCUUUUCCGGAAUAAUAAAUCCCUCUGUAUUUGUCUCUUACUUUAGGAACUACAUCCUCCACAAGAGAAAGAAGAACCGAUACCAGGACUCACUAACAAUUUAUAAUACAAUUAGAAGCAAAAUAGGGUGAUUAAUAAAAUGCAACUUUAAAAGAAAUAGAAGAACAUUCACCCCCUUGUAAAAUGAUUUUACUCUUUAUUCAGGAUCGUAUUAAAAACAUCCGCUACAGUUCACGAUCAAAGUAAUGAUAGGAAGAACAGUUCUUUUGACUGUACUGAAUCUUUAGAAUUCGUUCAUUAAAAAGAUUCGUUCAAAAGAUUCAUUCACCGAAUUAACCAGUACUUUGGAGCCCUGUGCAGCAGGGCGCAGUACACAAGUGAGUGACACAGUAGCAGUGCGUUUAUUGAACGAGCUCCUCCCCUACCAUGCUGCUAAAGUCACAGCGUAGUUCACUGGGUAACACAUAUCGUUCAUUCGCCAAGUCGUGAGGGAAGAAUCACUCCCCUGCCCUGAAAAACUCACCUCUCUGCGUGCCGCCGACAACAUAGCAGCAAACAGCACGAGCGUGAGUCGUCGUUCUUUUUAUUGCCGAAAAGCGGAGAGACUCAGUGAUUGAACUGGUCCUCAGCAGUUCGUGAAUGACGCUACCUCCAUCCUCUGCCUGCCUCAAGUCAUUUGUUUCAUUCACAGUCUGACUGAUACAUGUCGUUCAUUCGCCGUGAGCAAAUCACUUCCACUCCUGACUGGCACGUCAUGCUUGCGGCUGAGCUCAACUGAACUGAGAAAGGAACUAAUCAGGUCUUGGAGCGAUUCAAUUCAUGUUGUUUACUCAGCAGUUCCGUUCUUUUGAAUGAAUCGUUCAUGAACCACACAACACCAGAUCAAAAAAGCAGGCGUUGUAAACCAAACAGAACUUUUUGGUGCAGAAUCUUAAAAACAAAAAAUAAAGAUAAUUUCCCAAAAAUGUGUAAAUCACCAGUGCUUUAAAUAAAAUAAAUCACAGCCUUUACAGGUUGAGUUCAGAGAGGAACAUAUACAUCUAGUCUGAACCCAGUGAGCAGAGACAUUUGAGUCCAUGGAGGUGGAUUAAAGGGAUAAGCGCACACUAAAAAACGGGGUGAGGGAUCUCCGCGGACUGGCAUGUGAAACAUCUGCUCCCACAGAUAUAUGGAGCAAUCAAAGAGUUGUGGGCUGAAUAUGUCACAUACUAUAUUUAGAGUUCUUGUGAUGAGAGGGGUGAGGCUCACUGCGGACUCUGAAUGAGACCAUUGAGGAGGAUCACUGCUGCAGUUUUAGACAUUAUAGGCUUGCAAAUUUAUGCAUGAAAAGAAAAAAAAGUUCAGCUUUUUGAUCUGAUUAAAAACACAUCACUCAAUCUAGCAUUGUUAUCAAGAAAGCUGUAAACAGCUGCCCCUCUCGUGUGGGCGCACGCUCAUAUAUACAAACGUCCACAUAUGACCCAGCCAUUUACUUUAUUCCAGUGUUUUUCAACCCUUUUCAACCCUGUAGAGGACAGUCCUCUACAGUCCAAGUCUGUCAGUAUGAUAUGAAUUAGUCCAUGUUCAGUCAGUCCAUCCAGAGGUCACUCUGGGGUUCUGUCUGGGUCUUAGGCUGUAGGGCCCAGUAGGGCUGGUGGACAGUGGUAGGUCAGCAUUGUCAAAGUCAUCAGUCUCCCAAACAGCGUUCUGGGAAGGGGGGAUGGGGUCAGAGUCAGUGUGAAGGUUGUCCGAGUCUACUAACCAUGAUCAGGACCAUAAGUAACACAUACACGCACAUUAAGAGGAAAAUGCAAAAUAAUUCCUAAGUAAGUAGUAUCUCUGAUUUCUUCAAGAGUGUUUUAGUUUGCAUUUGAAGUAUUUUAACUAAUCAGCACAGAGGAGCACUCUUUCUAGUCCUCAAAGCUCUACUUGGCUGCAUUUUUGGAGCACGUGAUGUCCAUUUUUCAAAAAUAUCGGACAGAUGAGGCUUUCGUCUUAAACCAAAAUAACAGACUGCAUGAUCCAAGUGAACAUCACCAAGUACCACUUUUCUCAAGAGCUUUUUUCCUACUCAGAAGUUCAGAGUAAGGACAUUAAAAAAAAGGUACAUCAGAGAGUGGUUGUGGGACACACUGAACACUAUACAUGUGCCAUAGGGCUUCAUGCUUACAUUGCAGAGUUUGACUGUCCCAUGCAGGAGACUUAGCUGGAUUCUAUGCCUACACAUUUGGACCAAUCGCCUCCACUGAAAAAGAAAUCUCAGUGGAUGAAUGAGGGCAUGAAAAUACCCCCCCUGCAAUAUCAGCUGUGCUCAAACAAGCCACUGUGAGAAACCGCAUGUUACCCUACCAAACUGACACAAGCAUGUGCAGUCAGUGAGAGUUGGUGGGAACAGUCUGCAGAGAGAGGCACCAAACAUUCCUCACCUAUCCCAUUCCCGACUCAUCUCUCUGAGGUCAAAACUGGCCCUGCAGCCAAACUUUGAACUUGGCCGGGCCUCUCUCAGGAGCUAUACAAAGAGCUUGAGUCAUCCAUGAGGCAUGGACUGUAUAUCCUAUACUAUGGAGAGGAAAUCAAAGCUUGCCUCUAAGACACGACAAAUCAGAGGACGACAGUGUGUCCAAGAAGCAGAUCAGGGAGUAUCAAAUAGCAUUUGCGACUCUGGUUGUGGGGCUUGAUUUCUAGUGGGAAAAACCUGCAAUUUUGUCAACAGCUAACAAGAAGCAAUUUUACCUUUUCUUUUAUUUAGUUCUUUUUGUGAGAAUAAUGACUGUUCUCUCUCCAGGCUUUAUCUGUUCAAAGCCCCCAUUAAAGCAAGUUUAACAGUCAGGGAACAAAGCAGAAAAUUGUUGUUUUCUGAAACCGCUGCAAGGUGUCCGACUAAGCACAAAGCACUAACAGGCCGAUCGAGGCGAACGCAUAAAAACCUUUUAGAGAAGCCAGACAAACAAACCUGCUUACAGUGGUGGCAACUGUCACAAAGAUGUGUUAAUAGCAUUGCAGCUAAAGCUUAGAGAAGAAAGUGCUGUCAUACCUGGACAUCAAAAAAAGAAGGAAAGAAGCGGAUGUUUCCAGAGAGAGUGGAGAUCAAUGAAAGGCUGAGCUGUGCCAUAGCUGCUUACAUUUGGAGUUGGCAAAAGUUAGGAGCCAAAUGAUGGUGGUUGCUUUACUGGAAAUGCUGACACAAUUGAAUUUUCAAUCCACCUGGAAAUAAAGGUGAAGAUGAGGCAGGACCCGCCUGUCAGAAGACUCAGCUGCGCCUCUAAUUAAAAGGUAGGGAAUGGCAGAGAAACUACCUAUACCCAGAUUAAUGGUGACCGCUCCUCCUGCAAAAAAGAGCAAGAAAAGAAAGACGGAGGCAGAGAGGGCCAAAGCAAGAUAGAGUUUGGAGAAAGCAAGGGUGAAAGUUAACAUCGGGACAGCUUUUCAGCGAUGGAGAGAACUGAAAGAGGUCAAGUGCUUUAAAAGUGAUGAAAGUGAUCUCUUAUUUUCUGUUGGAAAGGUACGUUGAGGGUAUGUUUUUAAGGGCGAUUUUUAAUCUUGAUCAAGUAUUUAGCCAUGUUGCUAGUUAUGUGGUCAUCCCCUGCUGUUCAAAGACUUCCUAAUCUAAAGUCUAAAGUUUUGAGUGUGUGGUUCUGAAUCAGCAGACAGCAGCGCUCGUGCAUGUGAGCGGGGGCGUUGUUUUGGAGGAUCUCCAAGGGCAGAGGGGAGAAGUGUGACAAAGUUUCAAAUUCAUGCUAGUUUGCCAUUAUUACCAACCCUACCUUUAAGCAAAUGCAUUCAUACCUUUCCCCUUUAAUACCCUAAGAAGGGAUGAGUUUGAAAGAAGUCUCCACCUUCUCAGAGUGCAUGAGUACAGAAAUGAGCUGUUCAGACCAAAACUGUUUUUUGUAUCAGCCUGUAAACAUACUUCAUUCAGCUGGGGGAAAAAAGGCAUUUUAACAUGGGCACUUACAGUAUAGGGUCUCCAAAACUUUUGGGAUGCGCCUCAAGUGGACGGUCAAGGAACUGCACUUUAAUGCACUUCAGCACCAGCUUUAGUUUUCAUCAUUGGUGGUUGCUACUUGAUUGAACUUAUCCUUGCAGACAAAUCUAGAAAAUAUUUUGGUGCCUUCAACUAAAUAAGGGCACAUCUCCUCUGCAAACUUUAAAAUUCGUCUUUUAUUUUAUUAGCUUAACGUGGGAACUGUGAAGCAUGUGCAGAAUACUAAGGCCAGCUUGAGUCAAACUGAAGUGCAAACAUGGAAGAGAAAAUUGACCCCUGACCCCAAUAUCUAGGUAUGUUUUUAGUCAGACUGAUGUGUUUAUAUGUAUCUUGUACAUGACUGUUAUACAGCCUCCCCUAAGAGUAGUCUUUCUUCAUCAAAGUAGUUUUCAUGAACACAAAGAUUCCCACAGGGAUUUAUGUCCUCUCAGUUGACUCCUCUCAGUACACAUAAUAAAGGGAAACAAGGCCGAAUUCCUCCAACUGAAAUUGAUUCAUAGCUUAACAUUAUUCUGUCAUUGUCCCAUGUUGACCCCAACACAUCGGCUACAGCAGUUAAGUUUGUCCUUGUAAUGCCCGUCUUUACGAUGAAGAUGCUAUUCUUACAAAGAGCUGCAUAGAGGAGAGGUCAUGUGGAUAAAAUGAGCACAGGGAAGCCUUGGCCCCGGUCAGAGCUCAGCUCUCUGCAGAGGUUAACAGGCCAUAAAUCUAGAUUAAAGACACUGUUGAUGUUUGUGCCCUUCUGUGACAGAUAAAGAGAAGGAUAACCUGAAAUCAGUAUGUGGUAAAGAUAAGAAGUUUUCUCUUUUCGUGUGUAGAGAAAAAAGGUCAGAGUUCAGCGCAUCUCUCCCACGUCUUUGAAUUAACCUCGUCUUAUUAGAGAGUAGGAAACAGAAUAAUGUAUUGUGACUUUAUGACCUCAGACUUUCAAAGGCAUCAUCGACUACAAUUAUCUGAUAAAGCACCAACAUUUAAAAUGUUUCUGUGUUGAGCGUAGGCUGGGUUGAUUAUUUCUGGUGCAUUCCAGGGAUCAGCAAAUCAAACCCCUCUGAGGUUUUUACAACAUAAUGUCGAGCACAUCUGUCAGUCUGUUUAUGGAGGCAAAUAAAUUAAUGUCACACAUCCACCUAUAGAAGUUGGGAUGACAUGGUGGUGUGAAUUCCACAUGCCUUUGCUCAACACAUGGACUAUUUUUUUUUUUUACUGUGUACGCUGAAGCUUGUAGAUCUGUGAUUGGUCAGAACCGGUAUAAAAGCAA